GGCCACUGUAAGCCCAGAGCGGUUAAGAAAUUUAUAGUGCAAAAGGUUAGGAAAUUUCCGAAACCAACAAAGACGCGCAGAAUUGGAUGAUUCGAGCUCAUCAUCACAAUUUGAGUCAUAAAUACGUUCAAUUAAUCUGCGCUGAUGUUUCCCAGAUAUUAUUGCUAAUUAUUCCAUGAGAGCCAUCUCAGCCAUCACUCCCCAUUUGGAAACAGCUCAAGCCUCGAUGACCUUUAUCGCUUGGGACCAAAUAGUUGUCCCCCGACACAAUCUUUUGGAGUGAUGGCUGCUCUGUUUUCUGUUUUUCAGUACAUGAAUGCUUGCAAAAGGAUAAAGGGUAGGAAACGCCAUGAACUAUUUUAGUGCUGAAGCACGGUUUUACACCCCAUCAAAAAAACUAUUAUUGGCUAGCCAAUGGAGCUGCGGAAAGUCUUCUAUCAUGAAACUUUUUGAUCGUUUCUGUUAAUGCUGAGCAUAAUACCUGCACUAAGAUCAGGUGUAAGAGAUGUAAGCAGCUGCCUCAGAUGCGCCGUCAGGAAACAUCCCAGAGGUUCCCACAACGCGAAACACUAGCGUACAUUCAUUGCUUGCAUGAGACAAAAACAAAGAACUAGUGUCAUAGUUCCAAGAUCUUUAACAUGCUAGGGAUCAAAAAAUACGUUUCCACUGAGAUGCCAUGGUUAAAAACGGGUGGCAUGGCAGAUACAAAAGAAAAAGAAAAA
rnacentral:lncRNA from 1 species